rnacentral:ncRNA from 1 species
ACAAUGAUACUUCCGUCCAGUCAGAGCCCUGCACGCGAGUGCGGGAUCACGCAAUGAGGGCGGCUGCCGGAGACCCCGGCGGGGGUUGGAUUCCUAUGA